UACAGAGGGGGCAAGCGUUGUUCGGAAUUACUGAGCGUAAAGGGCGCGUAGGCGGCCUGCUAAGUCGAACGUGAAAUCCCUGGGCUCAACCCAGGAACUGCGUCCGAUACUGGUUGGCUUGAAUCCGGGAGAGGGAUGUGGAAUUCCAGGUGUAGCGGUGAAAUGCGUAGAUAUCUGGAGGAACACCGGUGGCGAAGGCGACAUCCUGGACCGGUAUUGACGCUGAGGCGCGAAAGCCAGGGGAGCAAACGGG
rnacentral:rRNA from 1 species